UAGCAACUGAUCUUAUACUACAGCAGGAAGAGAGGAGUAGAGAGAGAGGAGGAGAGAGAGAGAGGGGGAGAGAGACAGAGGGGGAAAGAGAGAUGAGCGACAGCAGGUGUCAGUGCACUGAAAAACCUAGAUGAGGCUGCAUUGCCACGACAACCAACGCUAGGGUACCGCCAGAUCCUGGCAUCACCGGACAGACCCGAGACCCGAGUCCAGUCUCAGCCCCAGGUCCGGUCCGGUCCGGUCCGGUCCGGCCCGGCCCCGGCCCCCCUCCAGUCCUGCUUUGCUCAGCAGCCCAGCCCGCUCCAGGAGCCAUCAGGGUUAGUGCACUUUUGGCAUUGCCGUCUGUGCUGAGGCCUGAGCUCGGCUCUCUCUGGGUAGAGGUUAUUUAUUCCCCCGUGCCCACAUAGGUUCCUUAGGUCUUGCAAAAAAAAAAAAAGAAGAAGAAAAAAAACAGCUACGCACUCCCGACGCUACGCAAUCCAAUAACCCACUCAGCAAGUUCCCCUGCCCAGAGCCUUCUCCAAAUAACACAGCGGAUUUAUACCGCUCGAUAGGACGAUUACAUCGACUUCACUCUCCGAUGUACUAGCGAUUUUAACAAAAUGGAAAUGUUUGGUUGCUUCCAUGUUUUUCUACUGGGUGACAGAAGGGGGGAGGGGUAACUACGGCCUCUGGCUCCUCUCACUGUUUUAUCUCUUUAAGGAAUCUCAGACAGUUUUAUCUUUGAAAGGUAUCUUUAUUUUUUUUCUUCAGAAACAUAGCAAAUAUUGUAUAUCCGGUGAGCGGUGGCCCCAGAGUGUAGGGGGAAGGGUGCUUUCUGAGGCGCAAACAUACUCUCUUAGACACACCGAGCACACACACCAAAUCAAGAUUCUAAGAAGAACAGGAAGGCUGCGCUGUUUGACUCAUAAUUCAAAAUACUGCACGUUGAGCAUUUUCCCGCAGUUCAAUGGAGGACACAAAGCUAAACUAAAUGGUAACCAAUAUUCUGCUCUUAUAACCACAGUGUGUGUGUGUGUGUGUGUGUGUGUGUGUGUGUGUGUGUGUGUGUGUGUGUGUGUGUGUGUGUGUGUGUGUGUGUGUGUGUGUGUGUGUGUGUGUGUGCAUGCGUGCCAAGUCUUAGAAAGCCAAGGUUUACACAUUCACAUGUCGUUGCUCCUUUUAAUGCUUUGUCAAACAGCACAGCCAUUGGAUGGCCAUAAAUAAGACAGCAUCGCACUGUGCACAAAACAGCACCUCGUCCAUCCAGACGGAGAGACAAAGAGUUGUUCCGUGGUAUUGCUUCAAUGCCCUGUCGAGCACCUUGAGGCCGUCCACCACGAUGAAAGGUGCUAUACAAAUAAAAUGUUUUACUAUUUUUAUUAAGAGAAACGGAGAGAGACAGGCCGGCUAACAAAAACCCAACAUGAUCUGUUUUUUUUCUAUGUAUAGUUUUUACAUAUCAGUGAGGUGGCUGGCAGUCACUCUGCACACAUGCAUGCGUCGGCGGGCACAUAUGUGUGUGUGCUCUGCGUGUGGAGGACUAGCAGAUGAGACAUGCAGUUAACCGUAAAAUGGCAACCCUGCAAGUUGCACCACCGCUGGGGUGGGAGGUGGAUCUGGAUCGUUUGCUGACCACGCCUCUACAGUGCUGUGUAAUGGACAAACAGAACCUAAUUUCCUUGUUCUGAAAGGUCUAAAUGACCCCCCCUCCCCAAACACUCGACGGCAGGAUCGGAGCCACGCCUAAACUAACGUAUAGUCAUUCAUUGCCCCUGCACCAUGAGAGCACUGUUUCACUUAUUAUUAUAUCAUGUCCUCAUUUGUUUAUUCUUCGAGACACAGGAGGUGAGCGAGAG
ensembl:lncRNA